CCUGUGAGGGUUGCUGGAGGUAUCAGAAGUGCGAAUGCUGACAUAAGUAACGAUAAAGCGGGUGAAAAGCCCGCUCGCCGGAAGACCAAGGGUUCCUGUCCAACGUUAAUCGGGGCAGGGUGAGUCGACCCCUAAGGCGAGGCCGAAAGGCGUAGUCGAUGGGAAACGGGUUAAUAUUCCCGUACUUGGUGUUACUGCGAAGGGGGGACGGAGAAGGCUAUGUUGGCCGGGCGACGGUUGUCCCGGUUUAAGCGUGUAGGUGUGUGUUCCAGGUAAAUCCGGUUCACUUUAACACUGAGGCGUGACGACGAGGCACUACGGUGCUGAAGCAACAAAUGCCCUGCUUCCAGGAAAAGCCUCUAAGCAUCAGGUAACAUCAAAUCGUACCCCAAACCGACACAGGUGGUCAGGUAGAGAAUACCAAGGCGCUUGAGAGAACUCGGGUGAAGGAACUAGGCAAAAUGGUGCCGUAACUUCGGGAGAAGGCACGCUGACACGUAGGUGAAGUGAUUUACUCACGGAGCUGAAGUCAGUCGAAGAUACCAGCUGGCUGCAACUGUUUAUUAAAAACACAGCACUGUGCAAACACGAAAGUGGACGUAUACGGUGUGACGCCUGCCCGGUGCCGGAAGGUUAAUUGAUGGGGUCAGCGCAAGCGAAGCUCCUGAUCGAAGCCCCGGUAAACGGCGGCCGUAACUAUAACGGUCCUAAGGUAGCGAAAUUCCUUGUCGGGUAAGUUCCGACCUGCACGAAUGGCGUAAUGAUGGCCAGGCUGUCUCCACCCGAGACUCAGUGAAAUUGAACUCGCUGUGAAGAUGCAGUGUACCCGCGGCAAGACGGAAAGACCCCGUGAACCUUUACUAUAGCUUGACACUGAACAUUGAGCCUUGAUGUGUAGGAUAGGUGGGAGGCUUUGAAGUGUGGACGCCAGUCUGCAUGGAGCCGACCUUGAAAUACCACCCUUUAAUGUUUGAUGUUCUAACGUGGACCCGUAAUCCGGGUUGCGGACAGUGUCUGGUGGGUAGUUUGACUGGGGCGGUCUCCUCCUAAAGAGUAACGGAGGAGCACGAAGGUUGGCUAAUCCUGGUCGGACAUCAGGAGGUUAGUGCAAUGGCAUAAGCCAGCUUGACUGCGAGCGUGACGGCGCGAGCAGGUGCGAAAGCAGGUCAUAGUGAUCCGGUGGUUCUGAAUGGAAGGGCCAUCGCUCAACGGAUAAAAGGUACUCCGGGGAUAACAGGCUGAUACCGCCCAAGAGUUCAUAUCGACGGCGGUGUUUGGCACCUCGAUGUCGGCUCAUCACAUCCUGGGGCUGAAGUAGGUCCCAAGGGUAUGGCUGUUCGCCAUUUAAAGUGGUACGCGAGCUGGGUUUAGAACGUCGUGAGACAGUUCGGUCCCUAUCUGCCGUGGGCGCUGGAGAACUGAGGGGGGCUGCUCCUAGUACGAGAGGACCGGAGUGGACGCAUCACUGGUGUUCGGGUUGUCAUGCCAAUGGCACUGCCCGGUAGCUAAAUGCGGAAGAGAUAAGUGCUGAAAGCAUCUAAGCACGAAACUUGCCCCGA
rnacentral:rRNA from 2 species